CCGAAACAACUCCAGGGCUUUGUCUCAUGGCUUGGGCUUCAUGUUCUGAUAGAUGAGCUGCAAAUCCUGUGAACCCAUGUUUAUAUGUGUGUACCACUGCGUUCCUACGUUCCACACAACGCAAUCAACAAAAUUAUCUAGUUAAGAAGGCGAAGGAAGUCAGUCCUGAAGCCAGAAGAAGCGGAUCCCAUGUAAACGAUAUAAACACCAUUUCUUGCAUCUUCAGCAGCAUCAGCUACUUUUACAUUUUCAGAAACAAGAAAAAAGGUAACACAAACCAAAGCAAAAAAAACACAAAAAGAAAUGCUUUGCAUGGCGUAUUGGCUUCUGUACUGAUCUAAUUGAGUAAGUUCCCUUCCACUUCAAGCGCUAAUUUAUAUGUUUUUACAGAUGAAAACUGGUGGUGAAGAAGGAAUAUGGAAAAUUUCAAUGAGAUGAGAUGAUCAGUUGGUGGGUUUCAUGAUUCAGAGCACGCGCACUGCCAAAAUGUCAAGCUUUUCCCUUAUCCACACGUAGUGCGCCAUGGUAAUUCAAAUGGUGGCUUACUGAACAACAGUGGCCAUGGUGGGGAUUUUGGAGAUCAUCACACGAACUGGUAAGAUUUUCCCUUUUUCCUUUUUAUAUAUAGAUAUGCAUAUAAGAUUCAAUCAACCCCAUACCUAGCUAACUGAUGGAUAUGGGUUGUUUUUAUUUGGUAACAACCCACAUGACAUUUACAUGGGGUGAUGGGUGGGUUUAUUUAAUUUCUCUUAUUCUUUCUUCAUCAAUCCUAUCAAGUUUAGUUCACUGCUAA